AGAUUAUUUGAAGCUGCCUGACACCAAAUAAAGAGUCAACGGCUGGUUCAAAGUUGGAGACAUCUUUUUCAAAGUUUCAACAAAUAACUGGACACGACGACGAAGAGUAAUUUCGUCUUUAACAACAUUCAUGAAGGUUAAAUCAUUGUGUCUGUUACCUGUUUUGGUUCCAAAUGUCAAGACCUACCUCACAUUUUCCUGUCAUCACCUCGCUCAGGAGUCCUGACUUUGGUUUCAGUCUCUCAGCCCCCCUGAGAAAAAAAAGCUCUCUCACUCCAGCUCUCCAUCUUCUGGGAAUGCCAUCCUGACAGUAAUGGUCCUUUUAGGCAGCUUUAGCACAGUGAGCCUGGAUUGAGUGGAGAGAUCAGGCAGCCUCUGGACAUUGCAGUGUCAGCAACAGCAAG